CACCAAUAUCUCCUAAUUUUCUUCUUCAAAUUUCAUCUUCUCUUUGUUGCUGACAUUUAAAUAAUUUUUACCAGUAUUCUUGCAUUUUCCUUAUCUCCUUCCGAUUUAGAGGGAAAUUACAUUUCUCCCCCUAUUUUUCCUCAUUUGUCUCUAUAUAUCGUCCAAACAAGAAAAACCGGAGUUUUCUCCUCUCCAUUUCCCCGAUCCAAACAGAGGGAAAAAUAUCUUCUCCCAAACACACUGUAAAUGGAACUCUCGCUUCUCAAGUGCUAUAAUUCAAAUCAAGAAUUUUGAUUUCUUCUCUGCACAUAAAUGGCAAAGGGAAAGAAGCUAAAAGGAAAAUAUCAAGAACAUGAAGACAAGCUGGUGAUAGAAGUGAGCAGCGGCGACGAUGACGACGACGCCAACGAGGAUUUGAGUAUGAGUAUAGUUGAGAGAGAGCUUCUAAUGGGGGCGGUCAAAUUGGCUCAAAACGACAACAACGGUGUCGUUUUGGAUGAUGAUAAUGUGUCUAAGAACGACAACGGCGUUGUCGUUGUCAGCAGUGGCAGUGGUAGUGAUAGUGGGGAGGGGGAGGUGGUGGAGUUGGCAUCACCCUCGUCUUUGGAGGUUGAAACGGUGGUUAAGGUUUCCACUUCGGUUAAGAAAAGGAAGGAGAAGAAGAAGAUUCAAAAGAUGGAAACUGAAAACCAAUCUGCUGUUAUUUCAAAGGAAGUAGAGAAUGCAGAAACAAUUGAAAAAUUGGAGCCUAUGGAAAACGCAGAGGCAGUUCAGAACACUGUAGAAUUGAUUGAAAAUGUGGAUGCAAGUGCUGUUGAGAUACCUCAGAAUAUUGUGCUGCGAAAGCUUCUUCGAGGCCCAAGAUACUUUGAUCCUCCGGAUAGUGGCUGGUCGACAUGCUAUAAUUGUGGCAAGGAAGGUCACAUGGCGGUGAAUUGUCCAUCACUUCAGAGGAAGAAAAGGCCGUGCUUUCUUUGUGGGAGUUUGGAGCAUGGUUUUAAGCAAUGUUCCAAGGAACGAGUCUGCAUUAUUUGCAGAUCAAGUGGCCACCGUACAAAUCGUUGUCCUGAGAAACAUAGAGGUGGUCUUCAGAGUUCAAAAGUGUGUUUAAAAUGCGGAGAUUCUGGGCAUGAUAUGUUUUCAUGCAAGAACAAUUAUUCUCUUGAUGAUCUCAAGGAGAUACAGUGUUACAUCUGCAAGAGCUUUGGCCAUCUAUGUUGUGUUAACUUCAUUGAAAAUAGCCCAAGGGAAGUUUCUUGCUAUAAAUGUGGUGAAAUCGGUCAUAAUGGUUUGGAGUGCUCAAGUUUGCACGAGGAAGCCACCACUGCAGCUUCACCUUUAUUAUGCUACAAAUGUGGUGAAGAAGGACAUUUUGCACGUGAAUGCACAAGUUCUGCAAAGACUGGGAAGAGGAAUCAUGAAUUAUCAACACCUUAUUUGAAGCCUCAUAGAGAGAACAGAAAAGUUACAGGAUUCAAAUCUGCACCUCAAGAUCUUGGAAAGUCUCGUAAAAGGAGAAAAAACAAGUCUGAAGAACAAACCAACACAACACCUAAAAAAUCCAAAGAAAGAGGUGGAUGGCUUACAGAGGAUCCUGAAGAUUCAUCCAAGUUGAAGUACAAAAAGAAUCGUUGGAGGUCUCCUUCAACACCAUCUUAUAGGGGUCAUAAGAUUUCUACUGCAACAUCUGGUGGUUGGAUGUCAAAUUCUCAAUCUUCCAAGAGAAUGUACAAGAGUCAUUCAGGUAUGUCAGGUUCUCAAACUUAUAAGAAAAUGCAUAAUAGUCAUUUAGAAUCUUCAUCAUUUCAAGGUUCGACUAUGCCUUUCGAGAACAGAUUUUCCGCAUCAAGGUUUAACAGCUCUGGCCGUGUGCUGUUUAGGGGAAAUUAUGAUUGGUGGUAGAAACUUAGCAUUUUGUGGAACAACAGCAAAGGCAUUUUAAACUUGUUCACUUUUCUGAUUCAUCCAACAUUGUAACCUUGUAACAAUGCAAGCUUUAGUUUUAAGUUACUUGUUAAUGAAUCUGCUUUCUCCUUUCAUAUGGGUGUGCAUUUAGUGAUUUAUUCUCCAUGCUAUAUCAUCACAUUGUACUCUUCGAUUUAUGUACUCUUUGAUGAUCAAUUGGCUUGAUUUUUUCUUGCUUUGUUUUUUA
rnacentral:misc_RNA from 1 species